AACAGAUGCACUUACAUGCGUGCGCACACGCACGCAAGUCAUGCCCCAGUCGCUUCCUAAUAGAAUUCCAUAGUUUCAUCUCUCUAUGGCUCCCAUCCGCCCCCAGCCAAUUGAGCCUUUGCACAUAUGUGGGGAUGAUGGAUGGAUAUUGGAAGCUGUGAGUGUUUUCUUUGAAACUUAUCGAUGACGGAUGCCAAGAAAUUUGUUAUUUCACCUCACAUCUGCGCCUAUAGUAGGGCUAUAGGCCCCGCAGUUUUCGCUCGCAAAGAGUAAUCCUAAACAAUAUUCGCUGUCCUAACAUUAAUUAUUUGCUUUCAUCUUUUGCGCAGCCAAUGCUUCAUUUGUCUUUUUUCUAUUACUUACCGCUGAAUCACCAGACUUCCAGUUGCUGACUUUCCUUUACCUUCUACGUCCUCAGUGUCCGAUAGAUAGACACUGCGCCUGGCGAACGAAAUGUAACGUUCGGUUCCUUGCUAUCUCCAAAUUGUGCCGAAGUAUUUUGAUCCACUAUAAAUUUUCUCCCAUAGCACUUGCUUCUCAGGCAUCGAGAUCUCGAUUCGAAGUGUAGGCUGGAUAGCAGCUGCCUUUGAGUUAACGUAACGCUUUGAUGCUGUCAUUUAUUUCUUCACUGUUAUAUUUCGAUCCAUGGCUCCUUCUCCAUUGCGCCUGUCGAGUAUAAUGUAUAUGCCUCACCCCUUUCAAUUGUCAGUGUGCCCACUGUUAAGGCUGUACGUACUUGUCCGUAUUCUGAAUAGUUUCCCUCACUCUGAGCCAAGAUAUGUUUUUCUGCAGCGGUUGCUAAAACUCGCUGUCAAUGUAUUUGUCUUUAUACUUCUGAGUCUUUUUUUCAUGCAGAACUUGUUUUGGCCUCCCGUACGUCAAAGAUUACUCAGCUCAUGUGUGUUUGCACGGCCGCACUUGUUUUUACCAUUGUGUCCAUGAACGUAGAGUUCGAACACUUCUUUGAAUAAUCUGUAUUCCUGUUUGCAUUUGAAAUUCCAAAUACAGCACCAAGUAUCGAGGCCUAAAUCCAAAAUAAUACCCCUCCUUUACACAUCUCUUGCAUCUCAUAUUUAUCGUGCGCCGUACAAAAUGCGCUCUUUUGCCGUUUGUUUUAUUACCUAUGCAAGAAAUUUGGAUUCUUCCCCGUCGGUGAUUUCAUUUCCAUGGUGACCAUGUGACCACCUGAACAAUGGCAUCAUGAACACCAUCUGGCCUGACGACUGCUGAGAGGUUAAGUCAUUUUUAAGGAGCGGGUUGUAUUAUUCAGUUGGAAACCCCAGCUCAUGUCAGCGAGCUGUCCUGUGCUCCGGAAUUGGAAGCACCCCAUGGACGCAGAACGAAGUAUGAACUCUCUGUCUCUUUUGUUACACGUGUGAGCGUGCCUCUUCCACUGCCAGACAAGCGUGGUGGUCGUCAGUCUCUCGAGAAAGAAGGCGAGAUUCAGGAUUACUGUAAAAGGAGGAGGAUUGAUUCUGAUGUGAAGAAAGUGACCCGACUGAAGCUCUCGAUGUUGUGACUGAAGAGGCCCUGCAGGUCCCUUUGCGGAGUAGUGCUCAACCUGUUGUCACGGUUAGCGAGCGACGCAACCAAGAUGGAAGACGGACAAAUGCAUUCAUAAUAUAUGCAUACAGUAGAAGAUUGUAUAACUGCAAUUCUCCAGCUCAUGUAUUUGACAAGCCAAGUUUGUAGUUUAUUUAUACUAUGCAUGAUUCAUUUCCGGGAGCGAAAAACCAGCCGGCUGCUUUCCGCCGCAACAGCCUUGUCCAGACGGAUCCUUCGGGGACACGUUGGGUGUUGGUUGUCGUUUUAUAAAUAAAUGAACACAUUUACUCGA